AGGACGAACGCUGGCGGCGUGCUUAACACAUGCAAGUCGAGCGGUAAGGCCUUUCGGGGUACGCGAGCGGCGAACGGGUGAGUAACACGUGGGUGAUCUGCCCUGCACUUCGGGAUAAGCCUGGGAAACUGGGUCUAAUACCGGAUAUGACCUCCUAUCGCAUGGUGGGUGGUGGAAAGAUUUAUCGGUGCAGGAUGGGCCCGCGGCCUAUCAGCUUGUUGGUGGGGUAAUGGCCUACCAAGGCGACGACGGGUAGCCGACCUGAGAGGGUGACCGGCCACACUGGGACUGAGACACGGCCCAGACUCCUACGGGAGGCAGCAGUGGGGAAUAUUGCACAAUGGGCGAAAGCCUGAUGCAGCGACGCCGCGUGGAGGAUGACGGCCGUUCGGGUUGUAAACCCCUUUCAGCGUAGGACGAAGCGCAAGUGACGGUACUGCAGAAGAAGCAACGGCUAACGUCGUAGCCGAGCACGCCGACGGUAACUCGUACGGAGUCGGGCCGU
rnacentral:rRNA from 1 species